GUGGCGCAGGAUCGAGUCUGGCCUGCGGCAUCUAACAUUUUUCUGCUGAAGUUUCUUGCUUCUUGUUGACAGUUAUAUAUACAUUUUAAGAUGAUUAUGUUUCUUACUUUAUUUAACAGUGAGAGCCAGAAAUCCAGAAAUUUAAACCUCAUUAUGAUUUAUUCUGUGAUACUCAUGUACUGUUAAUUUAAGCAAUUUAUUUAAUUUGCACAGAUUGUUAGCAAACAUACAAAAACAGAAAUCACUGAUAAAUAUACAAAUGCAUAAUGAAUAUGACUAGUGCAUUUACAUAGCCAGUUCAGACACCGCUCUACUCCAGGAUUUUUUAAAUUACAAAACAAUAAAAAUAAAAAUAAGAUGAGAAAAAGAAAAAAAAAGGGAAGGGAACCAAAACCCACAACUCACCCAUCCGGGACACCCCAAUAGUAAAUCAAAUUACCCUACAACCAGGUGAUAGCAAAAAUCAUCAAAUGGCAGUACACAGUUUUCUCCAAAUACUUAACAAUGUCACAUUAAAUAAUUUCACCUGCUAUUUCUUAUAAAUCUUAUUCUCUCCAGCUCAAAAGAACUAACAAGAUCCUUAAGCCACAUUUUAACAUCAGGGUAGGUGCUACCCGUUCCACAAUCUUAGCAAGCAUUUUUUAGCUGACAUGAGAAAGUAGUUGAUGAGUCGUCUUUGAGUCAAUGUAAAAAUGUUUGAUGUGUCAGAAAUAUCAAAAGUAAUAGUUUACGGCUCAGGCUCAAUUCUUGAAUUAAGAAUUUCUGAAAUUAUAUGGAAAAUGUUGCGGCAGUAUAUCUGAAUCUUCAAAAUAAAUAACAGUAAAUUAAAGUGGCUUCCACAGACACUUGUCGCACAGAGAGGAAUCAGAGGGGACCUUUUACUUAUCUUAGAUUUGGGAAUGAGCAACCAAUGUACUAUUUUAAAUUGCAACAGAGCAUUUAUCUGUUUUACACGUUGAUUCCAUUGUUCCUCUGUAAUCCUAAUAUUUAAAUUCUUUUUCCCUUUUCUCUCUGAUACGAGAAGUAUCCACCUUUAGAUCCUGCAGAGCUGUUAAGAGAGAAGAUAUCAUGCGAGGGGUCUGUACUGGGAGCUGAGCAAUGGAUCUCAAAGUGGAGUCAGAAAUUCAAAUCCUUGGCAGCAGAUCGGACCCCUAUCAAACGCCAAUCCCUCUGUUUUUAGCCAUCAUCUUCAUCUGAACCCCUAGCUUCACCACCUGGUUACUGCAUCACAACAAGAAAUCCUCAACAAUCAAGCUCCCAAAACUCCAUUAUCAUACUACACAGCAGACGUCUUCAUUCGUUGGAUCCAAACUCUCCGUGCAGGGUACUUGACCCCUUCCAUUGACUCGACCCUCGAAUCCAUGUUUCUUCUUGCCUUCUCUGUUUUUCUGAGAUGCUCAGAGUUCACUACCUCCUCAUCCUCCUACGACUCCU